CCAGCCAGCCGCCCAGCCCCUCGCGGGAAGCCCCCGAUGGCCCGGGAUCCAAGCACCUGUGGGGAAGGCUCAGGUCAGCGUUCCGCCAACUCCUCACCUCUAGCAUGGAGGCCACCCGCGCAGGGACAAGAGGACCCUCCGCCUGGCUCAGGCAGACAACACGGGAGACAGUCAGAGACGGUGGCAGGGGACCCAGCUUCCACUCCUCCUGCGGCAGCCCUCUCUGGAGCAGCGGAACGUGAACACCUGUGAAAGGACAAGUCGCCCCAGUGUACCAACCGCCUCGCUGAGCAAUCACUCAGCCAGCCCCCGAGCAAGACCCUCAACACUCAAACCAGAGGCGGCUCUUAGCGAAACAGUAUGAAGGCACCGGGCUUUCACUGAAGUUUGUCAGGAGGAAGCAGCACCCAGGGCCCCGCCUCACCUUCGCCGUCUCCUGCCCGGGAGGACGCCGACAUUCUCCGUCCAUGUGCGCACUGACCACCACGUCAGGGAUCUCCCCCUUCUUCACUGGGACG